UGACGUAAAUUGCAAUAAACAUUUUAAUCUGAAAACAGCGCACACGAUGUUUUGUCAGUGAACACAUUAAACAAAACAAUCAAUUGGUCAUAUAUCUAUAAGCCAGAUCGUCAGAUUAUUCACAAAGGACAUCUGCAGGAGAAUUGAUCUCGUAGCAUUACAGUAGCCUAGUUAGUGAUGUUACUGAAACGUGCACAUCAUGUGUGUAGGCUACCUCACGAAAAGUGGGACCACGCACCAAAAGUUAACCGACCCCGUCAGACACAAGCUGAUCACCGAAGACCUCAUACUCGGGGCAUCAAUUAGAAUAUAAUUAGCGGCAGUCUACUGUACCGAACUCAUUGAAUUUUGUAAAUACCUGUGUACCUGAGGAGUGUCCAGUUCACCUGCUGACAUAGCGGUGUCCUGGGGCGUUAAUUAAUUAGUUACAUCGUUGUCAUGCCUGACUGCCUAUGAUUUGUUGCAUUGGCCAGUUUACCUGGGUAUCUCACCUGUGCACAAUAUUAUCGGUAUCAAGAAUAUAACAGAACAUAUGACACGUUAGUUUCUCUGUACAGACACUUAUGCAUGUGUGCCAUCAUGUGCACUGUGAAAGAGUACGAUGUUGCAGUAAUCAUAAUAAUAAUUAAAUAAAAAUAUAUAACAACAACUAAAAUAUAUAUAUAUAAUAAUAUCGAUAGGAUUUCUCAUGAUAUCGUAGGCGGCCUAAUAACUUUAUUCGACAUUUUUCUUCUUCGUUCACUUGGCCCUACUAUACACAUGUAUACCCACCGCCAGGCGGCGCUCCCUUCAGUUUAGCGGGAGAUUUGUAUUACAAGUGGCGGCCAUUUUGUUUGUUUACGGAAACGUGAUGAAAGCUUAGACCUAGAACAAAAUCACGUUAUAUAUACAGUACGGUAUAUAUUGGCGACAUUUAAUUUCCCCACUCACGGAAUACAAUCGACAAACUGGGAACAGAAUAUCAAAUUUCGUCUAGCUUUUGGCGACUUAUGAUACCCCUUUCACCGGCAAACACUGAAUUAUCGGACAACAUGAAAUCAGGGACUAAAUUCACCAGCAUUCAUGAUCCUCGGACCACCCGCCCCCUACGCACAGCCGAUUUAUAAAUGUUGCAUCUUUCAAUCAGUGUCAAUCCCAAGAAGAACCCUGAUCAGCUCCUGGAAAAAUCAGUGUUCUUGCAGUAUUGUCAGUCAAAUCUCAAGGAAAGGAUCCCAGAAGAGGAACAUUUACAUUAUUUCAGACUUUUUUCUUUCCUGUGUAACAAUGCCUCAAAUAGCUAACACAUUUUAUAUAUAGUAUACAAUACAAUGUGUAUUAAUAACAGUCCAGUUAGAGUGCUGUGUUAUGCAGUAAAAAUACUUAAUUCUUGAUGACAUGUUGGUUUUAUGUUUACAUUAAACGGUAGUUAUAAUAUAUACUAAAGAAACAUAGUGGAUAAUGCCUUGUACAGGAGCAGGAGUAUGACAGUGUAAUAGUACAUGACUGCUGCGUUCAUCUAUGGAAGGAGUCUGUUAUUCGAAAUAAAGCUUUCCAUGAGGACGAAAAA